GAUGAACGCUGGCGGCGUGCCUAAUACAUGCAAGUCGAGCGAACGGACGAGAAGCUUGCUUCUCUGAUGUUAGCGGCGGACGGGUGAGUAACACGUGGAUAACCUACCUAUAAGACUGGGAUAACUUCGGGAAAGCGGAGCUAAUACCGGAUAAUAUUUUGAACCGCAUGGUUCAAAAGUGAAAGACGGUCUUGCUGUCACUUCUAGAUGGAUCCGCGCUGCAUUAGCUAGUUGGUAAGGUAACGGCUUACCAAGGCAACGAUGCAUAGCCGACCUGAGAGGGUGAUCGGCCACACUGGAACUGAGACACGGUCCAGACUCCUACGGGAGGCAGCAGUAGGGAAUCUUCCGCAAUGGGCGAAAGCCUGACGGAGCAACGCCGCGUGAGUGAUGAAGGUCUUCGGAUCGUAAAACUCUGUUAUUAGGGAAGAACAUAUGUGUAAGUAACUGUGCACAUCUUGACGGUACCUAAUCAGAAAGCCACGGCUAACUACGUG
rnacentral:rRNA from 1 species